rnacentral:lncRNA from 1 species
GCGCUCGGUUGUGCCGUUAUCGUGCAAUGCUUCAUCCCCGGUGCCGUUCAAUCCCAGGUCGUUUUCCCUUUCAGCUGCAAUGCCGGGAUUUUAAAUAGCAGAGAUGAAAGGCCCCUGCCCCCGCCUCCCUCCUCCCCUGAGUUCAUGUAUUAUGAAUGAAACGGCAGCCUCGCUGCUUCCUGAGGUGCUCCACUUCAGGUUGGAGUGCAGUGGUGCUGUGUCUGGAGUUUGUUCCUGCCGUUGGGUUUGUGGUCUUGCUGACUUCAAGAAUGAAGCCACGGACCUUCACGUCCAUCGCCUUGGCUUAGUGCAUGUCACCAAAAAUUCUCCAGGAAUUUCAUAGUUUGGACCUUGGUGGCAUGGCUGGCCCUGGAUUAUCCAUGCAGGGAGGCCUGAUCCUGUGACAGCUGGCUGCAGCAGGGGGCUGCCCAUCUUCUGUGCUUUGUGGUACAUAUCUGUGUCACCAAAGUAGCGGCCUCGGUACAGCAAGCCUUUCAUCUGCUGCUUCUCCGUCCAGCAGUUGUUCCAGAGGUUGGCGAUAUAAUCAUCUUUCACAUUCGGUUUGACUGUUUGGAGGCUGGAGCCUGUGUACUCCUCGGAGAAAAUGCCUGCCACAUAGUAGAUGACACUCAGGUGGUCAGUGACUCGCCUGUGAUGUGGCCCACAAACAGUCUUGGGCUCAGACUGUAGGGUGGACUGGAGACCAUGAGCUGGCUGAGAGCUGACAUGAGGAUGAGGAUGGGUAUCAGCUGCACGAACACCCGCAAGCUGCCGUCACUCCGCUUCUCCCUGCAGCCCUGCCUUUGCUGGUAGGUAUAGCGCAUGCAGCCAUUGCUGUAGACGUAGACUUUACUAGAAGGGAAGCCAUUGCCAAAGAACAUGUUGAAGAGGUCUUCAGGGGAGAUGUCAGCCUCAAAGCCGUGGUGGAAAUCCCCAUGACGAUGCUGGACCUGACUGCCUGACUCCUGUUAUCGCCCAAGUGGUCAUACUGCUUCCUCUUUUCUUUCUUUCUUUCUUUCUUUCUUUUUUUUUUUUUUUUCCUGAGACAGAGUCUUGCUCUGUCGCCUAGGCUGAAGUGCAGUGGCUUGGUCUUAGUACACUGCAACCUCUGCUUCCCUGGUUCAAGCAAUUCCCCUGCCUCGGCCUCCCGAGUAGCUGGGUUUACAGACAUGCACCGCCACUGCCGGCUAAUUUUUGUAUUUUUAGUACAGACAGAGUUUUACCAUGUUGGCUAGGCUGGUCUCAAACCAGCUGGUCUUGAACUCUUGACCUCAUGAUCCGCCCACCUUGGCCUCCUAAAGUGCUGGGAUUAUAGGCAUAAGCCACCGUGCCGGGCCACACUGCUUCCUCUUCUCCGGGUUGCUGAGUACUGCAUAUGCUGUGCCAAUGGCUUUGAAAGCUCCAGUGGUGCCAGGUGCAUGGUUCUUGUCUGGGUGGAAUUUGAGGGCCAGUUUGUGGUAGGCCUUCUUCAGGUCCUCAUCUGAGGCCCCUCUCCUCACCUCCAGGAUCUCAUAAUAAUCCUUACAUUGCUUGACCCUUUUCACAGCUGCAACUCCUUCUGCAGUGUAGCCUUUGGUGCUCUCUCCUCCUCCAGCUUCACCGUUGGCCUAGGGAGCAUCGGUCCCACCUGCUUUCCUGUGGGUGGCAUGGGUUGUGUCUGUGGGUUGGGGUUGGUCACCAGCAGUUUGUGGUUCCUAGUUGAGAGACUCCAUCAGGCCACACACUCGCGGCAUUGGGUACAGCCACUGUGCCUUCUCCAGGAUGAGGAGCGCCUGGUUGGGCUGGUUGCACUGGAUGGCUUGAGGGUGAUGCUGAUACAGAGCUCGGCUUCAUCCUUAUUGGAUUACAUGGCAGAACCAGAGCAUGGAACCUGCUGUUGACUUUUAAGAAGUGUUUUUGUUGUUGUUGUUCUAAUAACAGAGUAUAGUAGAUGAAGUAAGUAGAUGAAGGUGAAAAGUUCUGCUUCUCCCUUUCCUUUUUGCCUUGGGAUGGAGUUGUUGGAAAUGUGAUGCUUGGAGUUACGGCAACCAUCUUGUGACCCAGGGGAAAAGGCCAGGAGAGGCCGGGCACGGUGGCUCACACCUGGAAUCCCAGGACUUUGGGAGGCUGAGGCCGAGGUGGGCAGAUCACGAGGUCAGGAGUUCAAGACUAGCCUGACAAAUAUGGUGAAACUCUGUCUCUACUAAAAAUGAAAAAAUUAGCUGGGUGUGGCAGCAUGCACCUGUAGUCCCAGCUACUCGGGAGGCUGAGGCAGAAGAAUCCCUUGAACCCGGGAGGCAGAGGUUGUGGUGAGCCGAGAUCGCGCCACUACACUCCAGCCUGGGCGACAGAGCAAGACUCCAUCUCAAAAAAAAAGGCGAGCAGAAAUGGAGAAAUGUAGAGACAUUAGCCUAGCAUCUUAAUUUUUUAUUGUUGUUGUUGUUUUUUUGAGAUGGAGUUUUGCUCUUGUUGCCCAGGCUGGAGUGCAAUGGCAUGAUCUCAGCUCACCACAACCUCUGCCUCCCCAGUUCAAGCAAUUCUCCUGCCUCAGCCUCCCGAGUAGCUGGGAUUACAGGGAUGCGCCGCCAUGCCUGGCUAAUUUUGUAUUUUUUUUUAGUAGAGGUGGGGUUUCUGCAUGUUGGCCUGAAGUGAUAUAUUUUCUCAGUAUAAUUUAUUCAUGCAUUACUUGUGUAAUUACACAUUUUUCAAAGGAGGGCAAAACGCCUUAGGCAUUUGUACUUCAUCUUCAGAGUUGACCUGAUCCUCCUUCUGCUGACUCUGACUCUCUCUACCCUUCAGGACUCUUGUUUGCCUCUGCUGCUGGUCUCUCGGCUGCCAGCUGAACUGCUUUGAUUGACAACUUAGGUGUUCAAGACUUUUGGAAUGCACACUUUAGCCUUCCUGGGGCUGCUCCAUCCUUUUUACUCCCUCAGGCUGGGGAACCCACUGUUUGGGGCUGCCCUUUCCACAGCACUUUCUUCAGGGAGGGACUUGCCGUUUGGUAACUGACACCCCUCACCCCCACCACUUCUCUUCUGAGGAGAUGGAAGAGCUGCAGCAUAGAAGAAGCUGGGGAACAGGCCCAAAACCAAGGGCCCCAGAGUCUAGGUGGGAUUCCUUUGGCUCUGGCCCUAGGCCUGGCAUCUGAGUAUUAUAGAGAAACUCAUUUUAUGUUUAUCCAGGGGUUCUUGCAUUGCCUGUGAUUUCUGAGGAUGCUUUUAAAUCACUAGUAUUCACUGCCUCUACUAGAACUUCUGUACACUGGAUUUUAUUCCCCCCAGCUAUAAGGGCUUGUGAAAAUAUCUUAAAGAGUAGAGUAAGUAGCUCGGGCAGGCUUGCAUUUGCAAAAGCCCACCCUCACUGAUGGAAGACUGGUGGGAGGCCCUUGUGAUAGGUUGAGGGAAAGAAGCUGAGGUUUUAGUUGGGGCCCAGGAUUGGGGUGGAGGGGAGGAGAUGGGUGUGAGUUUUCCCCUUCCCUUCUCUGUGGGCGAUGCUCCACAUACGGUGGCAAGGAAAGUUUUCUGCAUUCUUCAAAGCAUGAGCAGAGAUCUUUUGCAUGCUGUUUCCACGGGUGUUUCAGGGAGCUCUCUGUAAUAAGGGUUCCCUUUGUGGCAGUUGGCAGUCGGUUCCAAGCUCAUCAUUUUGUUGCAGCAGGACUUGGCAGGGGCAUGGGAGAACAAGACUUCUGCUGUUCCUUUGCCACUCUGAGCUCUGCACCCGUACCUAUGAGGGCUACCUCUUUCCUCCAUCCUGUUCCACCUGUCCUCUUCCUGCCAUUCUUUUGUCCAAACCUGUGGGAGGCUGCAUUCAAGUUCACAGAAAAGGGGUACCUGUAGUCAAAAAGGGUAGGAGGAUGGGAGGAGAGGAUUAAGGAAAAGCCAACUUUUGCCUCAGAUGCCCGGCUGCUUUAUUAUGCAUGCUUUCCUCUUUCUCACUGUUUUUUGGAAAGGCUGAAAAUAAACACUUUUGUAAUACUGACUUGUAGUUCACACUUUCCUGACAAGUUACUCAAACUGCAGCCACAGCCGCUUAAAGAGAAGUUUGACGCAAGCCUUAUUCAGCAGACGCUUUCUAAUUCAGAAUGUUCCGAGGCAGUUGAUCUUGCUACUUCUAAACUAGUGAAGGGGCCGAGGAGGGGGCACAUUGCUUAACCUGGGAGCCCUGGGCCAGUACCCACCACCAGCAAGUCCACCAGCAUCUCCACCACAAAGUCAAGCUUUUGAGACUGCUGGGUCCUCAGGGCUGUUACCCAGCUCACUUAUUCAAGAAAUGUCACAGAGUCAUUAAAAAUCUCACCUGGAAGAAACUAUGAACAUCUCUUAAUUCAAGAUCCCUUUUUCUGUAGGCCAGAGAAGUGACUUCCCUGCUUAAAAUGAACAGAACUAUUAGGAGCUAGGGAUACAGCCCCAAACUCUGGAAGCUUCCCAUUGAGCCAUGCUUUGUUAAUUUCAUGGAUUUGAUUUAUUACGUUUCAGUUUUUAUUACAAAAACUUUCAAACAUACACAAAAAGUUGAGAGAAGAGUAUAAUGAACAUCUGUGUACCCAUCACUCAAUGUCAAUACUGGUCGCCGAUUCGAUGUUAUCUUAUCUAGUCCCCAUUUUCCCUCACUGCAACCAGAUAGACGUCGUAACACUUUAUCCACAAGUACAGCAAUAUGUGUCUCUAACAGAAAGCUUUAAAAAAUAGUGUAACCAUAGUUACCAUUAUCACAUCCACAAAAUUAGCAUUAUUUCUUAGUGUCAUAAUACCUUCGAACACAGUUUUCUCCGGUUGUGUCAAAAAUGUCUUUUUGCAGUUUGUUUAAAUGAGGAUCCAAACAAGGUCCACACAUUGCAUUUGUUGACAUAUUUUAAGGGGUUUAUACUGUCAUGGUCCCUCCCCUAUACCUUCCCCAUGCCAUUUGUUUGUUGAUAUAGUUGGGUCAUCUGUCCUUCAGAACUUCCCACGUUCUGAAUGUGGCUGGUUGUAUUCUGCUGGUGUCCUUCAACCUAUUUUUCCAUCCUGUUUCCUGUACAUUGGUACUGAAGAUGUAGACAACAGUGAUUCUCAGCUGGGGGAGACUUUGCUUCCCUCACCUCCCAGGGGACGUUUGGCAAUGUCUGGAGACUUUUGGUUGUCACACCUGGGGGUGGGGGUGCUUCAGGCAUCUGGUGGGUAGAGGCCGGGGAUGCCGCUAAACAUCCUGCAGUGCACAGGACAGCUGCCCACAGGAAAGAACCACGUGUCCCCCAAUGUCAGUAGAGCUGAGGUUGAGAAACCCUGACUGGGAGACUUGAAAUUCAAGUUUUGCUUUUGGCAAGGAUAUUUCAUAGGUGGAGCCGUGUACUUCCUGCUGCAUCAUAUCAGAACACUGUGUCUGAUGUUAAGGUGAUGUUUCGGUUGGUCAGUGGAUUCAGGAGGGGUCAACCUCACACAUCAUAAAAUUAGCCAAAUGGGCAUGUUUUGAGAGUAAAAGGGAGUGCUAUUAAUAGAUGAAAACUGGGAAUGUUUCUGGCAAACAGAGACAUGUGAUUAUCCAUUGAUUUUUCAAGAGCUUUAUUCAUCUCUAAUGAAUUUUCUUUCACUUUUUUACCAGUUUUAAUCAAAGUUACAUGGGCACAUAAUUUUUUUAUUUUUAAAUUCAUAUAUUUUUAAGAGACAAGGUCUCACUCUGUUACCCAGGUUGGAGUGCAGUGCUUGAUCAUAGCUCACUGUAUCAUCAAACUCCUUACUUCAAGUGAUCCUCCCACCUCAGCUUCCCAAAUAGCUAGGACUAUAGAUGUGUGCCACAUGUCUGGAUAAUUUUUUUUUCUUUUGUAGAAACAGCGUCUUGCUAUGUUACCCAGGCUGGUCUGGAAUUCCUGGCCUCAAGUGAUCCUCCUACCUUGGCCUCCCAAAGUGCUAGGAUUACAAGCAUGAGCCACCGUGCUUGGCCCAUGGGCACAUAAUUUAAAGAGGCACAUAAUUCUCCUAAACUUGUUGCUGCGGUAAUUUCCUCAUUCCUCCCUAUUUUCCUUUCCUAAGAGGCAACCACUUUCAAUUCUUUCAGUUGGUUCUUGUAAUAUUUAUCCUCACACAUCCUAAUAUGCUUAAAUUGCUACUUCAUGGUUUUUCUGUUUUUGGCAUUUUAAAAGGACUUCUUUCUAAAGAAUAUAAUUUAUCUUUCUGACAAUGCUCUCUAGCCCCCAGUACAAGCCUUUCUUGACCUUUCAUUUUCUCAGAACAGUGAAAUUCUAAUUUUAGCUGUCUGCUUAUAUUUAAGAGUGGGGUAUUAAAAAGCCAAAUAGCAGCUCUGAUCUUGUGAGUGGAGCCUGUUGACUGCUAUCUUCCCCAUUGGGUUAUCUGGCUAUGCUACCCUCCAAUGUCAGGAUGUUUGAUCAUUUCUUCUUGGGCCAGUAAGUCUUCCAGUCUUCUGCCCAAGGAGAUAGACCGGGCUGCCAGGGUCCUGGGACCCAGGUGGGGCCAAAGAGCAGUGAGUCUCAGCAUUCCUUCUGUGGACUUUCCUUUUUUUGUUGUAAUUCCUUGCCAUCAGUGGUGCCCGCUGUCCUUCAGUCAGUCCUUAGAAGCUCCAUUAACUUCCUCCAGAGAAUAAACCUUAAGUCUAGUGGCAGGAUUGUGGGAGGUCAGUUGCCCAGUUGCACAGAAUUGGGGAAGGAAGCUAAGGAUCAAAUUGUUAUUUUUUUUAAAAAAACAGCUUUAUUGAGAUAUAAUUGACAUAAAAUAAAUAUCACUUAUUUAAAAUGUACAAUUUGAUAAGUUUUGACAUGUGUAUACACCCAUGAAAUUAUCAACAGUCAAGAUAAUGAGCACCUGGGCAUGGUGGCUCACGCCUGUAAUCCCAGCAUUUUGGGAGUCCAAGGCAGGAGGAUGACUUGAACCUAGGAGUUUGAGACCAGCCUGGGCAACAAAGUGAGACUCCCAUCUCUACAAAAAAUUUGAAAAUUAGCCGGGCGUGGUGGUGCAUGCCUGUAGUCUCAGCUACUCAGAUGACUGAGUGGGAGGAUCGCUUGAGCCCGGGAGGUCGAGGCUGCGGUCAGUGAGCUAUGAUCACACCACAGCCCUCCAGCCUGAGUGACAGAGUGAGACCCUGUCCCCCUCCCCCCCAAAAAAGUAAAAAUAAGAUAAUGAGCAUAUUAGUUGCCCCUUAAGUUUCCGUUGCCCACUCAGGCAACUGCUGAUCUGCUUUCUGCCACUAGAUUGGUUUGUAUUUUCUAAGAUUUUAUGUAAAAGUAAUCAUAUAGUACUUGCUCUUUUUAGGGGGGAAGGAUUCUGCUUUUUUUUCACUCAGCAUCAUUACUCUGAGAUUCAUUCAGGUCGUUGAGUAUAUCAAUAGAUUAUUCCUUUUUAUUGUUAAGUAGUAUCUCAUUGGAUUAAUACACCAAAAUUUGUUUAUUCAUUUACUUGUUGAUGGACAUAUGGAUUGUUUCCAGUUUUUAGUUAUUACAAAUAAUACUGCUAUGAACAUUCAUGUGCAGGUCUUUGUGUGGACAUGGUUUUUCAUUUUUCUUGGGUUAACACCUAGGAAUGGAAUGGCUGAGCCAUAUGGCAGGUGCAUGUUUCACUUUUUUUUUUUUAGUUGAACUUUGAACAACAUGUUUAACCUUUAGUGAAACUGCCACACUGUUUUCCAAAGUGGUUGUACCAUUUCAUAUUUCCACCAGCAGUGAACCAGAAAGUUCUAGGUGGCUCAACAUCCUUGCCAACAAGUGAUUUGGUCAACCAUUUAAAUUUUAGAUAUUCUAGUGAGUAUGUAGUGGUAUCUCACGGUUUUAAUUUGCAUUUCCUAAUGACUAAUGAUGUUGAGCAUCUUUGCGUGUGCUUAUUUGCCAUCUGUAUAUCCUCUUUGGUAAAUUGUUCAAAUCUCUUGCCCAUUUAUAAAAUUUGGUUGUUUUGUUUUCUUAUUGAGUUUUGAGAUUUCUUUACAUAUUUUGGAUACAAAUCUGUUAUCAAAUGUGUAACUUGCAUAUAUUUGCUCCUAGUCUGCAGCUUGCCUUUUCAUUCUCCUAACAAUAUCUUUCAAAGAGCAAAUGUUCUCAGUUUUAUUUCUUUUUUCUCCAUAAGAGAUUUUAGAAUCUUCCAUAAGUGUUCUUAAUUUUGAUGAAGUCCAAUGUAUUGAUUUUCUUUUAUUGAUUUUGCUUUUGGUGCUGUUUCUAAGAAAUAUUUGCUUAACCCAAGGUCACAAAGAGUUUCUCUUGUUUUUUUUUUUUUUUUUUCCCUAGAUGUUAAUAGUUUUAGGUUUAGGUCUGUGAUCCAUUUUGAGUAAAUUAUUUUUAAUUAAUUUUUUUUUAAGAGACAGAGUCUUGGCCAGGCAUGGUGGCUGACGCCUGUAAUCCUGCCAGUUUGGGAGGCCAAGGUGGGUGGAUUGCCUGAGCUCAGGAGUUUGUGACCAGCCUGGGCAACAUGGUGAAACCCAGUCUCUACUAAAAUAUAAAAAAAUUAGCCGAGCGUGGCAGCAUGUGCCUGUAGUCCCAGCUACUCAGGAGGCUGAGGCAGGAGAAUUGCUUGAACCUGGGAGGCGGAGGUUGCAGUGAGCUGAGAUCACACCACGGCACUCCAGCCUGGGCGAUAGAGCGAGACUCACCCCGCCAAAAAACAACAACAACAACAACAACAACAACAAAACACAACGAGACAGAAUCUCACUCUGAUGUCCAGGCUGGAAUUCAGUGGUAUGAUCACAGCUCACUGCAGCCUUGAAGCCAGGGCUGAAGUGAUCCUUCCAUCUCAGCCUUUGGAGUAGCUGGGACUACAGGGGAGUGCCAUGUUCCUGAACCAUUUUCAGUUAAUUUUUUCUGUAUAGCGUGAGAUGGGUCAAAGUUCUGGGUUUUUUUUUCCUUUUUGUAUAUGGAUAUCCAAUUAUUUCAACACUAUUUGUCAAAAAAGACCAUUUUCCCCAUCAAAUUGCCUUUGCACUUACGCAAGUUACUAUUUCUUAGUCUCCUAUUUUUCUAUUUGUCUAUUUUGAAUUCAAUACCACACCAUCUUGAUUAUUGUAGCUUAUAUUAAGUCUUAAAGUUACAUAGGGUAAAUUCUCCAUAUUUAUUCUUCUUUUUCAAAGUUGAAUUGGUUAUUCCAAGUCUUUUGCAUUUCUAAAUGAAUUAUGUUUUUAUUUUUUAUUUUUGAGACAGAGUCUCGUUCUGUCAUGCCGGCUGGAGUGCAAUGGCACGGUCUCAGCUCACUGCAUCCUCUACCUCCCGGGUUCAAGCCAUUCUCCUGCCUCAGCCUCCCAAGUAGCUGGGACUACAGGCAUGCGCCACCACGCCCAGCUAAUUUUUGUAUUUUUGGUGGAGAUGGGGUUUCGCCAUCUUGGCCAGGCUGGUCUUGAACUCCUGAUCUCAAGUGAUCUGCCCACCUCGGCCUCCCAAAGUGCUGGGAUUAUAGGCGUGAGCCAUCGUGCCUUUCCCUAAAUGACUUAUAUGAUCAGCUUGUCAAUUUUAAAAACCACAUUGUUAAUGUAAAAAUGAAUAAUAUAAUGUAAAAUGUAAAUGUUAAUGUAUACAUAUAUGUAUGAUUUAAUGUGUAAUAUAAAAAGCCUGCUGGGAUUUUGACUUGGAUUUAUUAUAGCUAUAGAUCAAAUUGGGGAAAAUUUACAUCUUACCAAGUUCAGUGUUGGAUAUAAGUGGUAACAGCAGACAUUCUUUCCUUGUUCUGAUGUUGGGGAAAGCAAUCAGUCUUUCACCGUUAAGUAUGAUGCUAGCUGUAGGGUUUUCAGUUAUCCAUUAUCAGGUUGUAGAAGUUCCCAUCUGUUCCUAGUUUGUUGAAAAUUUUCAUCAGGAAUGGAGGUUAGAUUUUGUUAAAUGCUCUAUUUUGUAUGUAUUGAGCUGGUCACAUGUUUUUUCUUUUUAAAUUUUUGUUCGUUUGUUUUUCCAUUUGUUCGAGAUGGAGUCUCGCUGUGUCACCCAGGCUGGAGUGCAGUGGCGUGAUCUUGGUUCACUGUAACCUCCACUUCCGGGGUUCAAGAGAUUCUCCUGCCCCAGCCUCCCGAGUAGCUGGGUUUACAGGCACCUGCCACCACACUCGGCUAAUUUUUUUGUAUUUUUAGUAGAGAUGGAGUUUCACCAUGUUGGCCAGCCUGGUCUCGAACUCCUGACCUCAAGUGAUCCUUCCACACUGCUGGGAUUACAGGUGUAAGCCACCACACCUGACCUUUAAUUUGUUAAUAUAAUGAAUUAAAUUGAUUGAUUUUCAAAUGCUUUUUUUUUCUGGGAGACAGGGUCUCACUUUGUCACUCUGGCUGGAGCAGUGAUGCAGCGAACACGGCUCACUGCAGCCUCAACCUCCUGGGCUCAAGUGAUCUUCCUGUUUCAGCAACCUCCCUCCACCCCUAACCCCACCCCAAGUAGCUGGGACUAUGGGCAUGUGCCACCAUACCUGGCUAAUUUUUUUUAUUUUUUUAUUUUUAUUUUUAUUUUUAUAGAGAUGGGGCUUCACCAUGGUGCCUAGGUUGGUCUUGAACUCCUGAGCUCCAGCAAUCCUUCCACCUCGGCCUCCCAAAGUGCUGGGAUUACAGGCAUGAGCCACCAUGUGCAGCCGAGAUUUUUCUUUCUUUUCUUUUCUUUUUCUUUCUUUCUUUCUUUCUUUCUUUUUUUUUUUUUUUUGAGACGGAGCGUGUCUCUGUCCCCCAGGCUGGAGGGCAGUGGCGCAAUCUCGGCUCACUGCAACCUUACCUCCUAGGUUCAAGUGAUUCUCUUGCCUCAGCCUCCCGAGUAGCUGGAACUACAGGCAUGCCACCACGCCCAGCUAAUUUUUUUGUAUUUUUAGCAGAGACGGGGUUUCACCUUGUAGGUCAGGCGGGUGGUGAUCUGCCUGCCUUGGCCUCCCAAAGUGCUGGGAUUACAGGCGUGAGCCACUGUGCCCCACCCUGAAAGUUUUCAAGUGUUAAACUAAUCUGGCAAUUCUGGGAUAAAGCCUUCUUGGUUAAAAUAUAUUAUUCUUUUUGUAUAUAAUUGAAAUCAAUUUGCUAAAAUUUUGUUUUAAGAAAUUUGCAUCUAUGUUCAUAAGUUUUCUUUUCUUGCAAUGUCUUUGGUUUGAUUUAUAGAAUGCUGAUCUCAUAGGAUUCCAUCCCUCUUCUUUAGCUUUCUGGAAGAGUUCAUGUAGAAUUAGUAUGACUUCUUUAAAAUUUUGGUAUUAUUAUUUUUUUCUUCUGCUUACUCCGAGUUUCACUUUCUCUUCUUUAUGUAGUUUCUUAAGAAAGAAGGAAGCUGAGGUUGUUGACUUGAGCACUUUUUUCCUCCUACUUUAGUUGAGUGCUAUGGAUUUCCCUCUAAGUUCUGCAUUCCCUGCAUCCCACCCAUUUUGAUGUGUUGUGUUUUCUUUUGCAUCAGUUCACAAUGCUAAUUUAUCUUUGAUUUCUUCUUCGACCUAUGGAUUAAGAAGUGAGUUAUUUAGUUUUCAAACAUUUGGUUUUUUUGAAAUUUUUUUUUUUUUUUUGUCCAGGAGGCAUUUUAUUUGUAAAUCUGUAUUACACAUCUAGAAAAAGAAUGCCAGGAUUUUCCCUCCUGUGUGUUUUUGUCUUGCCUCUUCAUGGUCUAUGAUGCUAGCUGAGGUUGUCAGUACAAUAAAACCAAACUGGUGGGAUGGAAGAAGAUUACUCUGCCAUUUUUCUAGAUCUUUGAGUUGCACAUCAAAUCUGGGGCUGAUCACGCCACACUUGUUUAGCCUGCCUGUGGGGCAGCUCUUUGAUCAUCAAUGAUUUCAGUUUUGCCAGUGUAACCAUGCUUCAUCAUCAUAGUGAAAAACUGGACGAUGACUUCAGAGCACAGCCUAAUAAGAACCUGAGUUCAUGGCCUCUCUUUUCAGCAUUGUCGAUGCUCUUGAGAGCAUCAGCCAGGACAUUCAUGUGCACCAUUGUGGCGGUGCAGAAAGAUAAAGGCAAGAGGACAGGAGGGGAGAGCGCACAGAAUUAUUGAGAUAUAUUUUUCUUAUUGAUUUCAUUUUGGUCACAGAGCAUACUUUGUAUAACUCGAACCCUUUUAAAUUAUUGAAAUUCGUUUUAUGGCCCAGAAUUGGACGAUUUUGGUAAAUGUUUUUUUGUGUACCAAAAAAAAAAUGUAUAUUCUGCCAAUCUUGGGUGGACCUGGAAACUUUCUCAAGCCAGUAGGCCGGGGCACUCAAAGAGCUCAUUUUGUUUAUUUCCUGUCUCUCAGGAAUUGGUAUACUUCAUUGCCUUAUACCCAAUGUCUUCAGAACAACUGUUUCAUAUAUUUGUCUAUUUUAUAAGUUGCAUUUGGUGGAAGAAGAGUAAAUCUGGUCUCUGCUAUUCCAUCUUAGCCAAAGUGAAAGUCUCUUUGAACUGCUUUUUAAUUGAGUUUUCAGUCAAUAUUCCUUUGCUAGCCCUACCUUAACCUUCCACUUCCAGAAGUAGCUGGUACUGACUAUUCCCGGACCUUUUCGGUGUUUUUAGAUGUCAGUUGUUUUGUUUCUUGGCUUUUCUCACUGCUGGUUGUGGAAUCUAAUAAAUAUUCUAGCAAAGUUAUUAAAGCAGAGCUGACACUACACAGGGGACCCUGAAAUUAGACAAUCAUGGCUCACUUGUCAUUUUCUCAUGAGGCCACAUUUGUCUGGAACAGGGCCUCAAACUAAUAUACCAACAAGGGCUCUCUAGGGAGAGAAAAUGAAUGAAAACAUGGGUGCAAGAUAACUGGAAGGGGUGGGGACAAACAUAACUCACCUUGUUUAGACAACUCUGCUCUCAUCUCCUGUGACCAUGCAAGAAAGAAGGCCUGGUGUUGCCGGAUCUUCCAGGAAAGUUUCAGAGAAGCUGGAAACGCAUAACUUUAUGUAAAAUUGCCUCUUUUUUUCUUUCUUUCUUUUUUUAUUUGUUUAUUUUUUUUGAGAUGGAGUCUUGCUCUGUCGCCAGGCUAGAGUGCAGUGGCGCCAUCUCGGCUCACCACAACUUCUGACUCCCUGGUUCAAGCUAUUCUCUUGCCUCAGCCUCCUGAGUAGCUGGCAUACAGGUACGCGCCACCACGCCCAGCUAAUUUUUUUAUUUUUAGUAGAGACAGGGUUUCACCAUGUUGGCCAGGAUGGUCUUGGUCUUCUGACCUCAUGAUCCACCCGCCUCAGCCUUCCAAAGUGCUGGGAUUACAGGCCUGAGCCACCACGCCCAGCCCAAAAUUACCUCUUUUAAAAAUCUUGAGAACUCAUCUAAAUUUAAAAGAAUGUCGAAGGCCAAAUGAAAAUCCACGUAAGGAUGGGAUGACAGCUCAGGAUUUGCAUCUCUGUUUCUCUUUCGCGCUUUCCUGCUCCAUUAUGCAGGGAUGUGGAUAUUCACUGGCCUUUGGGGACUGAGGGUGGGUAAGUCUCUAUGGGUAGCAAGGAAAUGACAGACUUUCUAUGAAAACCAACUGAAUCAUGGAAUGAGAGAGCUGGAAGUGACCUUAGAAAAAUGUGGUCAAACCCCAGGAUAUUACAUAAGAAGCACCUAAGGCUUAGAAAAGUCAGGUGACUUCUCUAAGUACAAAGACUGUAUUAGUUAAUAGUUGGGCUGAGUCUGCAUCUAGUUGCCUAGCCAAAUUUUCUUUCUUCUGUGUUCCAUGAGAGCAAGAGAUAUGUCAGUAUCCUUAAUGCAAUUCUUGGUGCAUAGUAGGUAUUCAAUGAAUAUUUGUUGAAUUAAAAACACAUACUGAGUUGCUUUCUAUAAUAUUAGCAUGUGCUAUCUUUAUCAGUUAGGAUAUGGUGUGGCUACAUAUAACAGAAAAUUCCCAAAACAUUAGCUCAUAUACAAUAAAGAUUUAUUUAUCUGUGAAAGAAAUGUGGACAUUUAGGGUGUCAACAAUGUUCUCAUCUCUUCUGGUUCUGUUUUACCAUUCUUCGUGUAUGGCUUCUAUCCUUAAAUUUAUCUUAUGAUACUGAAGCUAUAGCCAUACAGCUCAACUAAAUUCCAAGAUGGAAGAAUGCAGAAUGCCUCCAUGGCAAAAGGUUUUCCUGGAAGUUCCACCCAACUUCCACUUAAAUCUCAUAGUUUGAAACUUAGAUAAGUGGCCACAUGUAGUUCCAAGGGAGGUUAGGAAAAGGAAGUUGGAUACAUUGUCUCCUUGAAUAAAUCUGGGUUUUGUUAAAGAAAGGAUGGAAUGGGUAUUUAGUAGGCAACUAGCAGUAUCUGCUGGAAUUUAAGAGUUAAUUAUUGAUUGAAAUAUUGUUUCCUGCAGUUUUGAUAUGCACAAUAAUCAAAGCAGAAAUAUGUAAGCCUUUAAAGAUAUUUAUCAGAAGAUAUUCAAACAAAAAAAUACUGGUUUAGUUCAGAUAAUAUUCUAAUGUUCUGGUUAAAUCAUUUUAGAAAACAUUGGUUCAGCUUCAGUUCAUGUUAGUUCAGUAGGAUUUUACUGGUUUUCAUGGAAAUCCUUUUGGAUGAGUCCACAAUUUAGAAAAACAUAAUGUUGUAUUUCAGUUCAGCACUCGGUUUCAGAAAUGAGUGUGAUCUCUUUGAAUUUUUGGUUCAUAAUUUGAGUCAACUCCAGUUCCUGUUUCUAAUGUAUCCACCCUAGACAUUUUGUAGUUAUGGCUUAGAAAGACAGACAUGGGCCAAAGAACUGGUUUCCACUGAGGCUCGAGUUUAUUAAUCCUGCUCUUCUUAUGUAGGAGCCAAUAAUCCUAAUGGCUUUGAAUGACUCUAAAUUUAUCUCUGUGAUUUGGCAUGACUAAAGGUCUCACUCAUGACAGACAUGCCAAAAUUAACACAUUAGCCUGUUUCAUACUUGUUCUAUGAUAUAAAUGCACCUAAUUGAAAAUGUCUCUGUUCUUACUCAUAAGUUUUGCAUUCCCGUGGUUUGAGAUUUCUUUUACCAUGUUAGUUCUAGAACACUAUUCUGGAUUUUGUAUGGUGUCUCAGAAAAUACACUUAAAAAUUAGAGGUUCAAGUUUUUUUUUUUUUUUUUUUUUUUUUUUUUACGGGGACUGAGGAGGUACUGUACAUUUCAGAAGGAGAAUGUAUGUGGGGAGUGAGAGGCUCCUUCUCCAGGGAAUCCCGCUGAUCAGGGACUGGGAAAAGGUGGCUCAGCAUUGCCAGAUACCUGGAGUACACUACAACAUUUUAACUACAAAUUAGAAAUCUGAGUUCCUAUGAAAAACCCUGAUUUGUACAUAUCAGCCAAUAACUUAAAAAAUUAAAAUCAACAAGUGGGCCACUACUGUGCUGGCCAAACAGUACAUGUCUAUAGGUUCAGUUAUUGGGCUGCUGGUUUUCAGAGUCUGAUUUUGACACUGCCUAUUUUUUCUAUGUCCUCCCUGUCCUCUUCCAUGCCUUACUUGAUGAUUCUGCCCUUAUUCUUUUGGAUAAAAAUGUUGAUAAAAUAUUCAAAAGUAGGAACCCAAUUCUCUGGGUAUGACUGUAUGCUUCUCUCAUGGUCAUUGGCCACCCCUAUGACAUUUAUCUAGUCAAGUUUGCACAUAUAGCCAUUGGUCAUAAAGUAGAAUGAGCAAGAGGCUGUAAACGAUGCACUACAAUCCAUCUCACACAAUUAACCUGGUAGAAGUCUUCAUGUUUAUGUGCUACUUAUUUGUUUUCCAAAAUGCAUUCAAGGAGUGCCAGCUGCGUAUGGCAAGUGGAAUGCACAGUGGGUACAUACCCUCCACUGGACUUUACUUAUUUUCAAAAUUUGAAUUAAACAGAAGAAGCCCGUUGCCCUCUGGUCAUAAGCUGUGAGGAUGUGAGCCUAGAAGCCACCAGCAGACAUAGUUCCUUUAUCAGGAGAAAGAUGGUGUGAGAGAAUAAAGCCAACAUGCUGAGAUAUGCAUUAUCUUUCUCCUGGAUACUGCAAGGGCUUCCUGACUUGUCUUCCCGUUUCUACCCUUGCUCCACAGUCUACUUCCAACACAAAAACUGGAGUGAUCUUUAGAAACAAAAGUCAGAUGUCACCUCCUUGCUUAAAAUCCUGCUUCGGGCCGGGUGCGGUGGCUCAUGCCUGUAAUCCCAGCACUUUGGGAGGCUGAGGCUGGUAGAUCACCUGAGGUCAGGAGUUCGAGACCGGCCUGGUCAACCUGGUGAAACCAUCUCUACUGAUAAUACAGAAAUUAGCUGGGCAUGGUGGUGGGCGCCUGUAAUCCCAGCUACUGCGGAGGCUGAGGCAGGAGAAGCGCUUGAACCUGGGAGGUCGGUGGAGGUUGCAGUGAGCCGAGAUGGCGCCAUUGCACUCCAGCCUGGAUGACAGAGCAAGACUCAAUCUCAAAAAAAAAAAAUAUAUAUAUAUAUAGCUAACACCAAUACACAUUUUCUACAUUUUCUAUGUGCCAGGCAUUAUUGUAAGUGCUUUAUGCAUAUUCACUCAUUUAAUUCUCACAACAGCUUUAUGAAGUUGGCACUAUUAUUAUCCAUUUAUUAGAUGAGGAAGCUGAGUCAUUGAGAUAUUAAGUAAUCUACUCAAAGUGCCACUGUUAAUAAGCAUGGGGCCACAAUUUAAACUCAGGCGUCAUGAUUUCAGAGUCCACUGAAAUCAUAAUGAAAGGUUUUCAGAUGAUAAAAAACCCACCUCAAAUUGGCUUACAUAAAAAGUGGAACUUACUCCCUUCUAUCAUGGACCAGUCCCUGGCGCUAUCCCAGUGUGCCGUCAGUAUUUGGUACUCUUCUCUCUCAUCUCAGCCUCGUUCUCAGGCAGCCUCUCUGUGUGUGGUGACCGCAGCAACACUGGGUCCACAUCAUUUUCAGCUUCGAGUUUAGAAGACAGAGAGGAGCUUGUGCCGAUAAGUCUCAGGACUGAGUCUCAGUGAUCCCAGUGGGGUGUCUGACUCAUAACUGAACAUUUCACCCUGGGGCCAGGAUAGAAGAUACCAAUUGGCCAGAUCGUGGUCAUGUGACAACCUGUCUAACUAUGGGUUAGGGGAUGGUGUUGAUUUUGUAUCACCAGAGCCAUGUAGGCCAAGAGUGGGUGAGGAGCUGUUGCACCAAAUAUAAACAGGGUGCUAUUAUAAGUAAAAGGAUGGCCGGGCACGGUGGCACACACCUGUAAUCCCAGCACUUUGGGAGACCAAGGCGGGUAGAUCACCUGAGGUCAGGAGUUCGAGACCAGCCUGACCAAUAUGAUGAAAUCCUGUCUCUACUAAAAAUACAAAAAAAUUAGCCAGGCGUGGUGGCAGGCAUCUGUAGUCCUAGCUACUCAGGAGGCUGAGGCAGGAGAAUUGCUUGAACCCGAGGGGUGGAGGUUGCAGUGAGCUGAGAUCAUGCCACUGCACUCCAGCCUGGAUGACAGAGUGAGACUCCGUUUAAAAAAAAAAACAACCUCAAAAAACCCAAAAAACCAAAAAAAAAAAAAAAAAAAAAAAAAAAAAAAAAAAAAGGGUGGGGGGAUGGAUACUGGGUAAGGAAAAAUAUUGGAUGGCCACUACAGGCAGACACUGUGUUUUGUUUGUUUGCUUGUUUUUUGUUUUUUUUUUCACAGAUGAGGGGCCUAGGGUUCAUAAAUGCUAAGUGAUAUUCCCAGGACUAUAGAUCUAGAGCAUGGCAGGGCUGGGAUUUGAAUCCCAAAACUUUUGUCUUGUCAUAAAAAGACAAACUUGGCCAGGUGCGGUGGCUCACACCUAUACUCCCAGCACUUUGGGAGGCUGAGGCGGGACAAUCACCUGAGGUUGGGAGUUUGAGAUCAGCCUGGCCAACAUGGUGAAACCCCAUCUCUACUAAAACUACAAAAAUUAGCCAGGCAUGGUGGCAGGUGCCUGUAAUCCCAGCUACUCGGGAGGCUGAGGCAUGAGAAUCGCAUGAACCCAGGAGGCGGAGGUUGCAGUGAGCUGAGAUCUCACCACUGCACUGCAGCCUGGGCAACAGAGAGAGACUCCAUCUCAAAAAAAAAAAAAAAAAAAAAAAAAAAAGACAAACUGGAAAUGACGGGAAUGGUAGUUGUCAGGGUGGUCUUCAGGGUCCAGGGACUGCCUGGUGCUCUGUCUAUUCGCACCAUCACUUCUUUUUUCCUGCCUUUUAGCUCAGCCCUGAGGGGCUCCAACUCCAGGACCCCAGAACUGGUUUUCUUUAAGAAAGGAUCUGGAAGGUGACAGGGAGGUGAAGGAGUGGAGCUUCCUUGAAAUGGCAGACCCAGAGACCUAGAGGAGCCUUGCUUCUGUGGUCUAAUUGGACUAAUUUUAGGCUGUUAAUUAGCCUCUGGCAAUUAUUUUUCACUCCAGAAAUUCCCCAGUUUUAUUUACACAGAGUGAUUUAGCCUUUUCACAGACAGAGUUAUUUCCUUAUAUUUGGUUCUGUUUAAAAAAACCUCCAGUCCCCAAAGCCUUCCAAAAAGCUGGGCCGGAAGCAGAGCCCAGGAUCAAGUAUCUGCAACUUCAGAGGCAAGGAAGGUCUGGGGGCUAAAAUUCACACAGUCAACAAUUUUAAGCAGUUUAGGCCAAUGCUCACUUGUUCUUUCUUUCCCUUCUUUCCUUCUUCCCUCCAUCCUUUCCUUACCUCCUUUCUUUCUGCUUAAAACCCCUCUGUUCUUAAUGUGCUUGGCUUAUACUCCUUAAUAGAUACUAAGCAUCUAUUAGAAGUCAAACAUUUUGGGAAGAGCUUAAGAGAGGCUAUGUUCUCAGUAAGAUAUCUAUAAUUUACCUUCACAAAGUUCAGCAUAGACAGAAAAUAUUGAGUUUGUGCUAUUUGGUAGAAGCUCUGACUCCAAGGGCAGCACCUCUUGCCAAGAACACAAUCAGGGCAUAGUCAGCUCCAUUCCAAUUAGGAAGUUAAGGCAGCUGCUGUGAGCACCAAUGAUAUCCAUAUCUUGAUCAGUACCUUAUGUUUGGCUUAGCAUAGUGAAUGUCAGAAAGGGUUUUUAUUAAUUCAAGUAGUAGCUAGUAGUCUGCACAGUGAAUGUGGGCUCUUAACUGGGUGAAACUGAAGAUAUUUGAGAUGCGUGGAUGGGGCUAAAAUAGUUCAGAACCACUCACAUAAAUAGGUUAGAGAAAUCUAGGAAGGCCUGCUGCCUGCACCCUCAGGGAAGGCAUCAGAAACUUGAUCCCAACUGGUCCUACAUCUAGCCACUUGUUAGGAGGAUGUCUGGUUGCCCAAUGCCACGUAUGAGGGUAACAUAUGUGUUACCCUCAUAUGUUGUCAUAAGAGAAUGUUGUCAUAUGAGACUGUUGUCAUAUCUGUCUCAGAUAAACUUUUCAUAUAAGACAGUGGCCAAAGCACUUCAAAGGGUAGAGAGCUUGGGUUUCACGGCCCUUAAAGAUCAGACUUUAUAAACUGUCUUUCAUUUACUAGCUAAUAAGUUCUUUUUUAGUGAAUGUUCAUAUAUGUGGCAGAAUUUGAUGUGAGAUUUCCCAUCAAUGUCAUGGGACAGGGAGGGUGUGGGAAGCAGAUAAACCUCACCCACCUGGAACCUCACCCACCUCCAACAUCUUCUUCAGUGACUACUGUUUCCACCAAAGAGAACCAACAUUGCAUAUACUGAAACUGGCUUAAGUUUGUUUGCAAUAACUCCUUCCCUUCAGAGAAUUUGCAUCUUAGCUAGAAAGAUGAAUCUAUUAGGCCAUUUUCACACUGAAGAUGGGCUACCCAAGAUUGGGUAAUUUAUAACUGGAAGAUACUACCCAAGAUUGGGUAAUUGAUAAACAAAGGAGGUUUAAUUGACUCACAAUCCUGCACGCCUGGAAAGGCCUUGGGAAACUUAUAAUCAUGGCUGAAAGGAGGCAGGCACCUUCUUCACAAGGCGGCGGGAGAGACAGCGAGCAAGAGCAGGGAAAACUGCCUUAUAAAACCAUCAGAUCUCAUGAGAACUCACUCAUUAUCAUGAGGACAGCAUGGGCGAAACUGCCCUCAUGAUCCAAUCACCUCUCACCAAGUUCCUCUCUCGACAUGUGGAGGUUAUGGGUGUUACAGUUUGAGAUGAGAUUUGGGUGGGGACACAGAGCCAAACCAUAUCAAUGAACAAUUAGGGGAAAACCACACUUCAAACAAGGAUACCCAUACAGCAUACAAUGUACAAGCAAGAACAGGAGGGCUUCAGAAAGGGCAGAAAACAGUUAGGCAGGUUUUUCUUCCUUUACUUUUGUGAGCUUUAUUGAGGUACCGUUUAUAUAACAUAAAACUCACCAGUAUCAAGUGCACGAUUUGAAGAGCUUUGACAAAUGUAGACAUUUGUGAACCACCAUCACAAUCAAGGUGUAGAACAUGUCUAUCACUCCCAAAUAUUUCUUCUUUCCUAAUUUUAGUCAAUCUCGUACUCCCACCUCUUGGACCCUGACAACCACGGAUGUAGUUCCAUCACCCUAGUUUUACCUUUUAGAAAAAAUUUCACAGAAAUGAAUCAUACAGUUUGUAGCCUUUUGAGUCUGGCUUCUUUCACUUGGCAUAAUGCAUUUGAGAUUUGUCCAUGUUUCAGUGUAUAUCAGUAGUUCAUUCCUUUUUAUUGCUGAGUAGUAUUCUGUUGUAUGGAUGUACCACAAUUUGUUUAUCACUUCACCAGCUGAGGUCAGAAGUUUAAGACCAGCCUGGCCAACAUGGUGAAACCCCGUCUCUACUAAAAAUACAAAAAAUUAACCAGGCGUGGUGGUGGGUGCCUGUAAUCCCAGCUACUUGGGAGGUUGAGGCAGGAGUAUUGCUUGAACCUGGGAGGCAGAGGUUGCAGUGAGCCGAGAUUGCACCAUUGCACUCCAGCCUGGGUAACAAGAGUGAAACUCUGUCUCAAAAAAAAAAAAAAAAAAGAGCCAUAUUGUUUGUUUGUUUGUUUGUUUGUUUGUUUAUUUAUUUAUUUAUUGAGACAGGAUCUUCUUCUGUUGCCCAGGCUGGAUGGAACCGGCACCAUCAUAGCUCACUACAGCCUUGACCUUUUGUGCUCAAGCAAUCCUCCCAUCUCAGCCUCCCAAGUAACUGGGACUACAGGUAUGCACGACCAUGCCCAGCUAAUUAAAACAAAUUUUUUUUUAGAGACAGGGUCUUACUAUGUUGCCCAGGCUGGUCUCAAACUCCUGGGCUCACGGGAUCCUUCCACCUCAAACUCCCAAAAUGCUGGGAUUACAGGCAUGAGCCACCUUGCCCAGCCAUAUUAUUUUUUAAAGCGUUUGUACUCCCACCAGCAAAGUAUGAGAAUUCCACUUACUCCACAUCCUCAUCAAUGUUUGACAUUGUCAGUCUUUUAAAUUCUAACCAUUCCAAUGUGUGUAUACACAGUGGUGUUUCACUGUGGCUUUAAUUUGCAUUUCUCUAUUGAAUAAUCAUGUUGAGCAUCUUUGCAUGUGCUUAUUUUUCAUUUGUAUAUCUUUUAUAAAGUAUGUAUUCAUUUUUUUGCCCUUUUUUUCUUAUAGAGUUAUAAGAGUUUUUUUGUUUUUGUUUUGUUUUGCUUUGUUUUUUGAGAACGAGUUUUGUUCUUGUUGCCCAGGCUGGAGUGCAAUGGUGCAAUCUUGGCUCACUGCAACCUCUGCCUCCCGCGUUCAAGUGAUUCUCCUGCCUCAGCCUCUCGAGUAGCUGGGGUUACAGGCAUGCAUCACCACGCCCAGCUAAUUUUGUAUUUUUAGUAGAGACAGAGUUUCUCCAUGUUGGUCAGGCUGGUCUCGAACUCCUGACCUCAGGUGAUCUGCCCGCCUCGGCCUCCCAAAGUGCUGGGGUUACAGGCAUGAGCCACCGAGCCCAGCAAGAGUUUUUGAAGUAUUGUGCACACAGAUCUUUUACCAGAUAUUUGUUUUGCAAAUAUUUUCUCCUGGUCUCUGGCUUUCCUUAUUGAUUCCUUAACUGUCUUUUCUUAUUAGUUUUGUUUCUGAACUGUAUCUUUUCAAGAGUAAAAUUUUAAGUUUUGAUGAAGUUCAAUUCAUCGAUUUUUUUGUGUCCCUAUUUUUAAGAAAUCUUUGCCCAAUGCAAGGCUACUAAGAUUUUCUCCUAUGUUUUCUACUGUUUGUUUUAUAGUUUUAUCUCUUAUGUGUAGGUUUAUGAUCCAAUUUAUUUUAAUUUUUUGUAUAUACUAUGAGUUAGAGAUUGAGAUUUUCUUUUGCCCAUGCCUAUUUAAUUCUCCCAGCUCCAUUUGUUGAAUGUCUAGUUUUUACUUCAUUGAAGUGCCUUGGCAUCUUUGUAAAAAUCAAUUUGCCAUAUACAUAUAAGUUUAUUUCUUGACUUUCUGUUUUGUUCUGAUACCAUCACUGCCUUUUCUACUAUCGCUUUAUAAAAAGUCUUGAAAUCAGAUAGUAUAAUCUACCUUUGUUCUUCCUUUUCUUUAAAGCUGAGAUUUAAAGUAUAGGAAUUUAAUUUGGUCCUGUAUCUGGAAUGAAAUGAAACUGGUCCAGAUUCCACCUCGAAUACUUGCUAGCUGGGAGAUCUUAGCCAAGUCACAUGUUUUACCCGAGUCUCACAAUACUUCAUGGCCUUGUGAAGAUUAAAUGAAUGAUUGAAAGUUUAAAAAAUGGGCUGGGCAUGGUGGCUCACACCUGUAAUCCCAGCCCUUUGGGAGCCCGAGGUGGGUGGAUCACUUGAGGUCAGGAGUUUGAGACCAGUCUGGCCAACAUGGCAAAAUCCCAUCUCUACUAAAAAUACAAAAAUUCGCCAGGCGUGGUGGUGCAUACUUGUUAUCCCAGCUACUUGGGAGGCUGAGGCAGAAGAAUUGCUUGAACCCAGGAGGCAGUGGUUGCUGUGAGCUGAGAUUGCGCUACCACACUCCAGCCUGGGUGACAGAACAAGACUCCAUCUCAAUUAAAAAAAAAAAGAAAGUUUAAAAAAUGUACUUUUAAAACGGUAAAGAGAGAUGCACAUAUCACCUGAUAUGUUGUUAUGGUCCUAGGAGUGGUUAUUCUAUAGGCAACCCAAAUAAUAGUGCCUGCUUUCUUGCAGUGUUAAAAAAAUAUUAGCCGCCCAUACUUACUGUACGCUCCCUACUGGGCCCUCCUGCAGAAUAAUGAGAAAUCCUUACCCCUUGACACUCUUGGCCAUGUGACUUGCUUGGGCCAAUCAGCUGUGAGCAGAAGUGACAUGUCCUCUUCUAAGCAGAAGCUAUAAAAGCCAUCAUGUGUCCUCCACUUUUUCUUUUCUUCCUCUCCAUUAGAUUGCCCCAAACCCCCAUUUUUCUGGAUGCUGUUCCUUGUUCACUUCCCUCUCCCUUAUAUGCGUGGGUCACUCAAGAACAGCCAUGUACUUCCAUGGCCCUGCCACCCUGGUCUCAGAUGGGCACCUGAGGGUUUGGGGGCAAUGAUCUGUCCCCUGCAAUUUUUAGACUAGAGUACAGCUAGUCAGGUCAAUCUUUCUUCAGUGGUUGAAGCUAUAAGCUGUACAGUUUGUGGCCACUGCUUUCCGCCUUGUGAGUUAUAAUGGAAAUCUACCAUGUGUGGCUGCCCAAAUCUUGUAAAUAUUUCCACAUUUCAGUAGUGCCAUGUUUCGUGAAUCUUGUCACCUCAAGGUAGGUUCCAAAAACCGUAAACCAACCAGCCAACCUACAAUUCCCAGCUUCCAUUGCAGCAAGAGAGUAGAAUCAUGGUCUAGGUUCUCCUAACCAGAUAAUCCUAUGUGGAAUUUUGAUUUGCAAAUAUGUGAGAAAGCAGUUUGGGUGAGUGGCUAGUGGAUUGGUAUCAGGUCCCUUAUUGGGUCAGUUCUUUAGCAGGGUUCUGGGAGUUGUUCUAGGAAGACCAGCCUAAAACCUGUUUCUCCACACUUUCAGUGAUUCUGUGAGCUAAUCCAAGGUAGUUUUCAAAAUACUUCACAAGUGGCACAGCCUGGGCCCUGCUGCACCUGACAGGGUGCUGUGACCAGGCAGAAGGGAAGUGGCUGUAAACAGCCAGUAAGACUGUGCAGGUGUAUACAAGCUGAUUGUCAGUCCGAGGACAAAUAAUGUCCUUUCAAAAAUCCUUUUCUCCUUAAGCCAUAUAGAUUUUGUUGCCUACAGCCCAGAACCAGUUCUUAAUGAAAGAGAAAUGUAAGUUCAGUUCUUGGAGAGUGGUAGGGAAAAGGUGCAGAGUCCAUCCCAACGUGGCCAAGGCCCUGAUUUCUGUCAUUCCCAAGGUCCAGCUGCAUCUCUGUUUGUCCAUAGCUUGACUUUAUUUUCUUUUUUAAAGACAGGAUCUGACUUUGUCACCCAGGCUGGAGUGCAAUGGCACUAUCUUGGCUUAAUGCAACCUCCCAGGCUUAAGUUAUCCUCCCAGUCUCAGCCUCCUGAGUAGCUGGGAUUACAGGCGUGUGCCCCCACUCCCAGUUAAUUUUUGUAUUUUUUUGUAGAGAUGCGGUUUUGCCAUGUUGCCCAGGCUGGUCUUGAACUCUUGGGCUCAAAAAGAUUCGUCCGUCUCCACCUCCCAAAAUGCUGAGAUUACAGACAUGAGCCACCAUGCCCAUUCCCACCUUUCUUUCUUUAAAAAGAUGAACAUUAAUAAAUUAGAUGAGAAAAAUGAAAGAGUAGGGGCUGAGAAACUUCGGUUAAACAAUGAUUUAUUUAAUGAAGAAGCAGCAUGCAUCAGAGAAGCUCUUUGAUUCUGCUUAGAGGCAGAUCCUGAAGGAAAGAUUUGACUGCAAGUAAAUUAUUUAGGAAAUGAUUCUAGGAAACAACUGUGGGAGAGGGAGGAAGUGAGAUGGAAAGGGAAGGCAGCCAACGAAAUGUGCUUUAUCAAGCAGGUUACCAAAAUGUGGAACUGGAGCUUAAUCUCAUUUGGGAACUUUGGAGGGUUGUAGAAAACACACCCACAUGUGCUACCCAAGAGGUGAGGGAGCUGGGAUAUUUAUACACCAGCCUGGUCAGUCACUGGUUGAGGGCAGCUAGAUGGUGGUGUGGUGGGUAAUUAUCCGGCAGAGUGGGUCCAAUAGGCAGAGAAAGCCCUUAGGCGAAGAGAGACAGGUUGGCAGUUGGAAGUUGGGCAGCUGUCCUGAGAUGGUAAGAGAGAGGGGAAAUGGGUGUGGCAUGGACAGCUUCUGCCAGAUCUUGUUUAGACUUUUCCCUGAAUGCACACCUAUGUGAGGCACCACUUCCAUAAUAAAAAUGUCACAUGGUAGUGACAUGCUUGUGCUAAGGUAGAUUCAAAUUUAUUUCGGGUUUAAGAUCAAUGGGAACAUUUAAAAAAUGAAUUGCUCAUAUAAUUAUUGCUUGAAAGUCCAUCUCUUCUGUUUGACUGUAAGCUUUCUGAGGGCAGAGCCUAUGUCUUUAUUUGCUCACUGUUUUAUCCCUGGGCUUUAGCAUGGUGCCUAACACAUAGCAGAAAUUCAAUAAUUUUUUUAUUGAAUGAAUUUGGCAUAAUUAGACAAUGUGGGGUAUUGCUAGAUGUUAAAAUUUGAAAAAAAAUCUGAAUGUGUGCAACAUAAAAAACAAAACCCCAAUGAUUUAUCUUUAUAGCUCCAAAAUGUCAUUAUUAGCUUAAGAAUAUAUUUUUGUGUGACAAGCAAGUUGAUUUGCUUAUUAAAUUAUUAAUUGAUAUGUUUAGAGGGCUACAGACCUUGUAAAACAUUGGAGGAGGUUUUGUUUUUUUUUUUUUUAACCCCCUUCUUAACUCAAAAAAGUCUAAGGAGGGAGAAAGAAAAAGCUGAUUUUUCAGCUGUUUGUUUUCUUUUUCCUCCCAACACUCUGAGGUUUCUACGUGCUGUUAAAACAGGGCCAAGAAUCCCUGGCUUGGAUUCUGUCUUUCCUUGGGGGCAGAAGUUUCCCUCUCAGGCCUCCGGGGUCUUUCCAGUCUGCAGUCUUCAAAUAUGGGCUGACCAACCCAGAAAUGAUAUUUUUUGUUGACUAACUCCAGGCACAUAUGUUCUUUCGUGGAGGGAUAUUUUUGAAAGAAAGGCUGCACAGUUUCCAUUUGCAAGAGAAGAGUAUAUUUUCAGAAGCUUCUAUGGGAGGGAGACUGACCUUUGCUCUAACACAGAGAGUCUUCUUCAAUCUGGGAUUUUAUGGGGAACCUCAUCUAUUUUCUUUCUUCUUCUUUCCUGCUGGAGCUAGUUUCCUCUGUUCUCUGGUUAAACAUUUUUAUUGGAUGGAUUUUACAAUGGGGAGGAACACAUACUUUUUUGUUGAAAGACCAUCUCCAGCUAAUGGAAUCUAAUCGGGCCAAGGGAAUAAAAUUUGGGAAUUCAAUUUCCUCAAACUGAGUCGACACUUCACUGCUCCUGUUUCAUGCACUUUGAAAUAUGGCGUGUUCAUGUUUGAAGGCACAGAGAGAGUUGAGCUCAUUCUUAAGUGAGACAUUCUAGGCAAGAAAUAGCUAGAACUAAUAUUAAAAUCGUCAACUGUAAACGCCCCUUCUACCCCAACAAAAGACAACAGUAUGUGAACUAAACCCCUCCCUUCUAUACGGAUGCUGCAGAGAAACCCCCUGUUGUCCUUUGGGAACAAUGGUUGGAAUAAGUAUGUAAUGAGUGGGGGUGAGGAGAAGAGUUUGAAAUUAAAAAAAAAAAAUGUUUCAUGUGGUAGAUCAGAAGCUGACCAAUAAAAUAUUGCAACAUUUAUACCAACCAACCCUAUGGUUAUGGUUGCAACUGUACGUAAUUAUAUCUCAUUUUCAUUUCAUUUAUUUUUAAAGAGCUUAGAGAUUUCUCUUUCAGCUAAAAACAGUAUAGGGCGUUUCAUUGAUGAUUGGGAGAGGGAGGGUGGAAGUGUGGUAACAGAGUCACCUUGUUACUGUGCACUUGGGAUAUAUGCUUUGGUCCAUGACAGCUGAGCAUAGAACGACCUCAUUCAGGAACAAAUAUCGUCUAAAGAUUUUGUCUAAGAAACCCAGUGCUAUGUACCCCCUAGUUAUUUACAGAGAAACACAAUAAUUUCUAUAAAACUGAAUGUGUAAACAAAAAUUAAAAUCCAGCCUCAAGAAAGGAAGAGCAUCUUCUCUAGUCUGUCUGUGUAGGCCCCUCCCCAGUGGAACUUCAAAUUCCUUUCCCAAUCCUAUUUGCCACUCUCCCCACUCAGAAAACCUUUUCUCAAGGAAACUUGCCCACACCUCCACUCACAUAUUCAUGGAGAAAUACUCCUAGUCUUGAGCGUUAGAAUGCUAUUGUGUGAAUGUUGCAUUUUGAUUUAUUAAUAGGACAUUUGAAUCCAUCUUUACUCUCAAUCAUUCAGCAUAUUUCUAAUCUAAUUUUAUACACCAGUUUAUAAUUGUUCUCAUUAAAGAGCUGUGGAACAGCCUGACUUUAAAAGGAAAGUAAUGGAAAUAGAGAAAGGAGAAAUCAGGGUAACUGGGCAGAGACAAUAUCCGUUCUUUCAUUUUUAUAUAGAAAUAGAAUUUUCAGCUGAGCAUAGGGCUGCCCAGCUAAGAUGACAAGAAGACCAAUCUGCCUUGUAGCUAGGACCAAGUUUUGGCCAAUGGGAUGGGCAGAAGUGAUGUGUGCAGCUUCUAGGUCAUGCCUUUAAGGGGAGGACACUUCUGCUGAACUUCCCCUAUCUCCUACUGCCAGUGACAGAGGUGUGGAUGUCAGCAUGAGACAUCCUAGACCAUGCAGAUAAGGACUAUGCCCAUGGAUGGCAGAUCAACAACAUAGCAAGCACCUGAGUCUCAAUCCUGGGCACUACUGUGUCAGCCCUAGAUAUACCCAGACUAUUACAUAAAAGGGAAAUUACAUUCUCUCUUGUCUAAACUACAGUUGUUUUAGAUCUCUUUUGGAGCAGCCAAGCCUGUGUCUGACACUGAAGAAUUUUAUUACAUUCUUCAGCCCUGGAGAAUUUCAUUAAAGAGACCUCCUUGCAAAGUUGGUAAUCUCCACACAUUUUGCUUUGCUUAUCUAGGCAGGUCAAGUCCAAAGUGCAUUUUUCCAAACGCUUCUGCUCCUCUUUCUGCCUAGGAGUACUCUUAUCAGUGCUUGGGGUGGGGGUGCUGAACUGAACCAUGAACUUAGGAAGUUAAGCUAUCUCUGUGGGAGUCACGGGUGCUGGAUGAGAGCAGGAUAAGCAAGCUACUAGAAAGAGAGACACAAGAGGGCUCCCAAGCCAAAAGGACUUGAGGCCUUGAGCCUUCAGGGAAAUGGAUGCAUCUGAAGACAGAGUGGCCCUCGAAGCAGGACUGGUUGGCCGCAAAACAAGAGAAAUGGUGGUGGUGUCAUCCUUGCUUUGCAGGAAGAAUACUCUCACUGAGCUCUCUUAGAGUACUUCUGGCCUCAGUAGCCUGCAGGAAUGGAAAGGAAAGGGUUUGUCAAGACAGCUCUGUGUGAGCAAUGUGCAGCAGGCUCUUCUCAGGCUGAGGCCAUUAAUCUUUCAUUCAUUGAAUCACCUUUGCUCUGAUGUCUCAUUCACCAAGCCCUCUUCUGCUGCAAUUUGGUUUCACACCUGGAUCUCCUACAAUGAAAGUGCUGAUCAUAGAGACUUUGAGCCUUUCUGGUCUUUGUGAUGUGGAUGGCUCAUGGCAAAUAAAUAAAGUCGCUGCAGGUCAGGAUUUGGCUUCCCAAGUUGCUUGCAUAAAGAGUGAAUAAUGCAGAUCUUGCUGCAGGUGAUUUGGGCCCAGGUGGAGUUAUGUUUCUCUUUGUACCAUAAUGCAUUUGCAUUCUGGUGUCUGCCUAAGGCUUGGGUCCUUUUCUGUAGAAUGAGACCAUUUUUUAGCCCUGAUAACCCCUCAGGGAGUCUCUGAGACCACUUAAUACAUUAAAAAUCCACCAUGGGUUCCUGCCCUUGUCUACCAGUUUUCCCUUGGACUAAUGGCUGGAAGUUUUUUAUGUUUGAUGAGUGUGACAUUAGAUGGACAAGUUCACCCCAUGCCUAUUCCCUGAGUUAUAUUCAGCUCUAGGACACUUGCCCUUACCCUGUGCCUUUUUCUUCUUCCACUGAAAAGAGCAUAUGAGAAUGUAAGGAGGCUUUCCAUCCAGGAGAGAAAGCCUGGGAUCCUCUCUAGGUGGUAAUGAGAAAGGUUAACUUUUGCAAAGCAACAUAUUCCUUCUGCCAUGCUUAACCUUGAUGGGGUCACAUUCCAGUGUGGGGAGGCUGCUGUUGUAAAGUGGGGGACCCCCUUCUACCCUGGUCUGCUCUCUCUCUGCUGAGAGCCAGGGAUAUUGCUAGAUUUGGCAAAGCAUAAUGUUCUGGCUCUUUAUGAGCGUAUGCUAAAGUAUUCAGUCUUUUUUCUAGGUGAGUUCAUUUUGCUUUGAGACAAAAAUCUUAGCAUUUGCCCUUGAUUUUUUACCCUAAUUUGCAAUUUUAAUAUUAUUUGUGAUUAAUUUUUUAAAAAGCUUUUCAUUUUCUAGUCUAAAUUAAUUAUAGUCUUUUAUUUUGGAGAAUAGAAAGCUAUGUAUUUUCAGCUUGAAAUAUGUUAGAAUGAUGAGUGGGGAAAUAGUUUUGUUUAAUGGAAAGAGCACGUGUUUUAGUGUCAGAUUUUUAGCGGUGUUUGCGAUAUAGCACUUUAUCGUUCUGAGCCUUGAUUUCUUCAUCUUUUAGUUAAAAGGGGAUUUUUGCAGGACUGUUGAGAUAAUUAGAUACUGUUUGUAAAGCACCAGCCAGGGCCUGGGAUGGAGGACAUUAACAGAUGAUGCCCUCCUUUAUCUUUCUGUACAGCGGGUGUGCCCCAGAGCAAUGCAAGGAUCAACCAUAGAUGCCCAGGUUGUCCUAAACUUUCAGGAAUCCCCAUUUGAAGGUGACUCCAUAGGUUUUCUAGGCUGAGUUUUGGGAGUUUCUGGUAGUGGUGGCAGAAAUGGAGUUGGAGGAACAAUGUGUGUGUGUGUGUUUGUGUGUGUUUGUGUGACAGAGACAGAGAGACUGCCCAGUUUUAGGGAUUUCAAGGGAAGGAGCUGUUUUAGCUUGAUCUUAUACAACAUCCCUGUGAUAUCAAAAACUUGGGGCUGGGCGUGGUGGCUCAUGCCUGUAAUCUCAGCACUUUGGGAUGCUGAGGCAGGCAGAUCACCUGAGGUCAGGAGUUCGAGACCAGCCUGACCAACAUGGAGAAACCCUGUCUCUACUAAAAAUGCAAAAUUAGCUGGGCGUGGUGGUGCAUGCCUGUAAUCCCAGCUACUCGAGAGGCUGAGGCAGGAGAAUCUCUUGAACCCGGGAGGAGGAGGACACGGUGAGCCGAAAUGACACCAUUGCACUCCAGCCUGGGCAACAAGAGUGAAACUUGGUCCAAAAAGAAACAAACAAACAAACAAACAAACAAACAAAAAAAAACUUCGGUUCUGUGUCCAUUUUCUGUAGCUGAAGAAACAAAAAAAGAAACUUGGGUUCUGUGAAGAUAAAUCAGCUCAGCACUGGGUGCUGUUAACAGGAAGGGAGUGGGAUCAAUUGGCCAGUCACAGAUGGAUGGGGAGAGGCAGGAGAAUGACCACCUGUGCCAACAGUGGAGAGGCUCUGGAAGGUCCCCAUGCCCCUCAAUGUUCCUAAAUGUUUCUUCUCCUGCAUACUAAUCUGAAAUAACUGAAACGCCACAAGUUAUUUUUUUUUCCUCUCUCUGGAAUCCUUGUGUCUUUCUUUCUUUCUUUUUGUGCUCCCUGUAACUACACACCCAGGUAGCUCCUUCUGAAAUGGUGCUGUGUCUGGGACUAGUUUGGAGAAAUCUGGAAAACUUGCUCAUGACUGUAUUUAAGUCACUUUGUCUCUCUGGGCCUCUUAAAAUUAGUCACUUAUUGAAUCUCUGCCAGAGCCAACCAGAUCCACAAUUCUAAAUGUAAAAGAUUGUUAUCCACAGAGUUGGCUUCUGGAGUGGGCAUCUUCAGCCAUCCUAGGGAACUGUGGGUGGGUAAAGGUUGCACGGGAUGCUGAAGACAAACUUGAGUCACUUCUCAGGCAGGCCCCAGCCUCACUGUGGGUGCCUUUAAGGCAGCAGUACCCAAUCUUUUUGGCAUCAGGGACUGGUUUUGUGGAAACCAAUUUUUUCUAUGGAUGGGAAAAUGGGACUGGUUUCAGGAUGAAACUGUUCCACCUCAGAUCAUCAGGUAUUAGAUUCUAAUAAGGAGCAUGCAGCCUAGAUCCCUUGCAUGCACAGUUCACAAUAGGGUUCUUUCUCCUAAGAGAAUCUAAUGCCACCGCUGAUGUGACAGGAGGCAGAGCUCAGGCGGUAAUGCUCUCUUGCCCGCUGCUCACCUCCUGCUGUGUGGCCCAGUUUCUGACAGGCCAUGGACUAGUACAGUGGGUUGGGGAUCCCUGCUUUACGGGAAAGGUACAAAGGGAGUUUCCCACAGUUUGAGAAACUGUCCUGUCAUUUUUAGACUCAAGUUGUUGAAAGCAAAGCCAUCAUCCUUGGGAUUGUCCUAUGAGUCUUGCCAAACUGUAGGACACAAGGAGAUGACAGAAGUGAUAAAGACAAUUUUUGUCUCUCCACUAAUUUUAGGCAUUGUGGGAAUUGGAGCCAGGAGUUCUGGUUUUGAGGCCCAGGCUUACCACUGAUUAGCUCAGUGGACCUGACAUCUCUGGGUGUUGCUUUCUUCCUCUGUUAAGUGGGGAAAAUCGUACUUGACUUGUAGUUGAGGGGAGAUCAUGUGCUAUGGACUGACUUAUGUCCUGCCACACCCCAAAUUCCUAUGUUAAAGCCCUAACCCCUAGUGUGCUGGUGUUUGGAGAUGGGAUAGAGUUAGGGAUAUAUCUUUUGGGAUAUAAUUAGGUUUAGAUGAAGUCAUGAAGUUGGGGCUCUCAUGAUGGGAUUAGUGCCCUCACCGGAAGAGACAUCAUAGAGCAUGCUCUUGCUUUCUUUCUGUCUAUCUCUUUGUCUGUGUGUGUGUGUGUGUGUGUGUGUGUGUGUGUGUGUGUGUGUGUUCAUGUGCAUGUGUUUUUUGUGAGGCUGGAAUGGGAAAGCUGCCAUCUGCAAGCCAGGAAAAGACCCCUCCCCAGGAAUAGAAUCUGCCAGCCCCUUAAUCUUGGACUUUCCCCUAGACUCCAGAACUAUGAGAAAUCAAUGUCUGUUGUUGAAGCCACCCAGUCUAUGGCAUUUGUUAUGGCACCCUUAGCAGAUCAAGACAUUGUGGUCCCUCCCUCACUCACUCACUCAUUGGUCUCUUAUCUUUUGAGCACUGUUUAUUGUGUUCUGAGCAUUGUUCUCAGAAGUGAGGAUACAAUGAACAAAAUAGACCAGGCUCUCACGUCCCUACAGUUCAGUGGGGGAAGAAAGACAGAAAACGAAAGAAAUGAGAUAAUUUUGGAUUGUGAUAAUAGCCUUGAAGAUACUGUAGGCAUAAUAGUAGGUGAAAAUAGUUCACAAUCAGUGAAUAUUUGUAGCACUCCCACCCAUAGCUGCUUCUGAUCACUGUCCGUGCUAUGUUGCCAGCUUUGGAAAUGUCUUCUUCACCUUUGUCCUGAAUCACAGGAACAGUAUAGGGCAUUGACACAGAGAUGGCACUUCUUGUUUUCUGGGACAACUCUAUCCUUUUGUAGCCCCAUCGCUGAAAUCCCUCCCCUACAUCUUGCCCCCUAUCAGGCAGCACAUCGCUCCAACACUCUUGGAGUUGGGAUGCAGAACCUGUAUUUUGGGUUCUUCUUAGAGGUGAUGGGCUGUUGUCAUAGCAACUGCUUCCUAGACUUAACCGUCAGCCUCAGUGGAGGUUUCUCCUCAGCUUUUCAGGCUGUAGGCAAUGCUUUCUCCUCAAAUGCCAGAGCUGAUCUAACUCCCCUGCCUCUAGCCUGCAAGCUGGAGAGACUCUUUACUUUCAAGGAAGUCUGGCUUUUACAGGUUCAAGCCUUUAUAAGAACACCAAAGCAAGAGCAAGUCCAAAAGGGGCCUCCCUGCCUGGAUGACAGAGGUGCUGGCUGGGGCUUAGGUAAGAAGCUCUCCUUUACCUCUUGCCCCUCACUGAUCUUUCCAGACCCCUGGGGAGGCUUAUGCAGGGGGCUCUGGCGGCAAUUUCCCUAUCCAUUUUGGGUUGUGUUAGUUUUCAGGUUUCUCUGCUGUUUGGAUCCUGAUGUUAGAUUCAAAGGCCAGAUUUAUAAGGUCAGGAGAAUCAAAGACGGCCAGUGACUCACACACUUUCAUGUUUCUCAGCCCUGGCCUGUUGGCAAGUUUCUGGACCCACUUGUAACCACUUUCCUGGAGCCAGUGCAGGUAAAGGAAAGGAGUUUAGCAAACAGGGAAGGGGUGGGCAGCCUGCCUGAACCUGAACCUGAGCCUGGGCCUGUGAUGUGGUCAGGCUAGUGUGCCCCACCAGCCCUGGGCAGACGCCGGGCCAGGGCACACACCACUUGGUGCCCACUGGCGCCUGGGAGAGCUCCUGGGUCCCCUGCAGGGUGGGACUGGCUGGGUCAUCUGCCCUCAGUGCUGCUAUGGGGGGUGCUCUGUGAGGUGGGAGCAGCCAGGGAGAGAAACGGCAGGGCGUGUUGGUGAGGCUCCUAUAAACGUGCACUUGGCUGUGUGCCUUCAAUGCUGGCAGGCAUGGGCUUCUGUUCUGGCUUCUCAGAGAUCUUUAGGAGAAGAGAGUUAUGUUCACUUCUGUAAUCCUCCUUCUCGAAUCUUCAGACUAUGGGUCAUGACCCAUAGUGGGGCAAAAACCAAUGUAGUGGAUUACACACAACAUGGAAAAACAAGGAGAAAGAAAAGAUAUUAAUGUUAAUUUUUUAGGCACAGUAAUGGCAAUGCAGCUGUGUAAGAGAAUGUCAUUAUUCUUGGGAGAUACACGAUGAACUAUUUUGGUGUUGAAUAUCAUGAAGUUUGUCAUCUACUUUCAAACAGUUCAACCAAAAAAUGUCUCUUUGUGUGUGCAUGUGUGUGUGUGUGCAUGUGUGUGUGUGUGUGUGCCUGUAUUGAGAGGAAGGUAGAGUAAUAUGGUACACUGUUUACUAUUGGUAGGCCUAGGUCAAUGGUUCUCAAUGGACUGUGGGUGAUUUUACCCCUCAGAAAACAAUGGCAUUUUUGGUUGUAAUAUCUGGGUGUGCGUAUGAGGUACUAAUGGCAUCUAGUGGGUAAAGGCCAGGCAUAGCCCUAAAUAUCCUGCAAUGCACAGAUGGCCCCCCCACAGCAGAGUUAUCCAGCCCAGAAUGUCAAUAGUGCUGAUGUUGAGAAACUCUGCUCUAGGGUAAAAAGUGUUUUUGUAUCAUUCUUUCAACAUUUCUGUAAGGUUGAAAAAUUUCAAAAGUAAAUAAAUAAAUGAAACACAUAGACUAGUAAAGAAGUCCCAGGCCAGGCGCCGUGGCUCACACCUGUAAUCCCAGCACUUUGGGAGGCCGAGGCGGGUGGAUCACUUGAAGUCAGGAGUUCGAGACCAGCCUGGCCAACAUAGUGAAACCCUGUCUCUACUAAAAAUACAAAAAUUAGCCAGGUGUUAUGGUGGGUGCCUGUAAUCCCAGGUACUCGGGAGGCUGAGGCAGGAGAAUCGCUUGAACCCUGGAGGCAGAGGUUGCAGCGAGCCAAGAUCACGCCACUGCACCCCAGCCUGGGCGACAGAGCGAGACUCCGUCUCGAAAAAAAAAGAAGUCUCGGGGUACGUCACGUGUUGCCACAGUAAAGAUAAUUAUUUGGUAGCACUUAUUUUGUUUCAGUCAUUUAUCUAUGGGUGUGUGAACUGGGCUGCAAUAUGUAAGUAUUUCUUAUGGGUAUUGUGCUCAAUAUGUUUGAAAAGCACUGCAUAAUCCAUAUCCUUCCGGCUGUGCUUGCUGUUGGAGAGAUAGAGAAGCUUGUCAAACUCUACUCACUUUCAAGUCAUCCAUAGUGAUAAUAUAAUUUUGUGUUUACGAUGUUCCAUGCACUGUGCUAAGCAGUUUACAUGCAUUAUUUGCAUUAUCUUAUUUAACCUUCACAGGAACACUUGUGAAGUGGGUAUUACUCCUAUCCUCAUUUUAUAGACACACUGAGGCUUAGGUUAAAUGGAUGGCCCAAGGGCACACAGCUAAUAAUGGAAGAACAGAGGCUUAGAUCUCUUAGACUACAAAAUCCAAGCUUUUAAAUAUUAUGCCAUCUGCCUCUAACCCUCUCAAAGCUUCCAAACUGAAUAUUGCUUGCUUUGGAAGUGAGAGGAGCUUCAGUCUCCUGAAGGUUGAAAUGUGUGGUUGAUCAAGUAGCCAUGCCCUCUCCCUCUUCCAUUCCUUCCUCUGGAGUCAGUGUAUGUGAGCGUGAGUGCUGUUUUGAUCUUCGAAGGACAACGGUGUUCAUCCUGAAGUGGUGAAAAUUUGACCACAAAAUAAUCUUUAGGGUUGAAUGGCAAAAAAGCAACAAGUGAUCAUGAAAAUAUUUGACUCAAAUUUCAACUUGACCGAGUCGUACCUACAUACAGAUUUCCCCAAAGCUCAGAGUGCUGCGUUUCAGGGUCAGAAAUGAGGGGCUCAUACCCCUCCUUCCACCUGGGCAAUUUUUAGAGUGUAAACAAAGCUUCAACAAGUUGACCAGGAUCCUUGACAGUGGCCCCAAUUCCAUGUGGUCAUUAUACAGAUGCCAGGAGGCCCCCCAAAGUAAGUGUGGGAUCUCAAGAGAUGACCAAGUCCAGUCUCAGAAGGGAGAGCACUGACUUCUGGUUAGGAUGCUCUUUUGGCUAAAGGCCACACCUGGUUCUAACCCGCAUUAGAAACUUUCACUUACCCUUAACUGUUAAGCUCUCACUUCCCACAUGGAAUUGGUCACUCAUCCUGGCAAUUCUAAUGGGCUGUGCUUUCUUUCUGCAUUGACUUUGGAAAGGUCUUCACGUUGACUUCCAUCUCCAUCACAUGUCACCUAGAGUCCAGGUCCUAGACCGUUCUCUAUUAAUUGUCCACACAGAAGCCCUGAGUCAGGCAUCAACAAACAUGAGAAAUGAAAAUCAUGAACGGCCACCUAGUAACAUGUGAAAUGCAAAACUCAAUACAAACAUUUCAUUGCCACAGAUGAACUAGGGAGACCUUAAACUUGAUCAUCCACUUUGCUGAUAGGGACUUUCUGGAGCGGUUUCCCCGGUAGGAUUUUCUUUGGAGAGAUGCUGGAAGUUCAGCUCAUGGUUGCUGCUUGUGAGGCUAACUGUUCAUGGCUUGUAAGCGGAGGCUACCUGCUCAGUUUGUGGACCUGGUCAGACAGGAGGAGCUGGCAACAUUCCUUCCUAUUGUUUAGCACGUUUUAUAAAUGAAGUUAAAUAAAGCCCCCCGGAGAAGAUUUAUUGCCCACAGAUCACUUCAAAUAGAGAGCUCUGAUCUUAGUUAACUUAUUUGUUAAAAAAGUUUUUAUCUUCAGAUGUUUGGGCAGGCAAGUGAUUUGGUCUCUGUGGUGAGUGUAGGGCCUUCCCACCUUAGCUCUUAGUUUGGUAGGUAGCUCACAGUAAGGGGUUGUACAGGCUGGACAGAGGGAACUGUGCUAUUUUAAUGCUGGAGUGAGAUGUCACAUCUCCACUUGGCUGUAAGAACAGUCCAUUGGUUGGCUGUGUGAACCCUCAGGAGAGGGAAUGAUGACUCUUCAUCUUCUGGAAGGAAAACCUGGGAACAGCCUGGUGAUAACCUGUUCUUUGUCACUCUUCUUUUUGCUGCCCAGUCCUCCAGGCUUUUAGGCUCUGGUGUGCAACCCCUGCUGUGGUCAUUUGAGAGGAGAUAAAAGGAAUCUUCUGAGAGCCAGAAGUUCUGUCUUCAGCACCAGCUGGGAGACCCUCUGUCAAGAUGAGGGUUCUAUUGAUCCAUGCAACUGCCGCCAACCAGAAUUUUAGGGUUUUGCCCCAAUAGGUAUGUAGUUGUGAUUCACUCCAGCCUCUGCUGUAGCUAUCUUGGGAGGUUAGUAAUGAUUUGCUUCUAUUUUAUUAGUUUUACAACUUCCCACUUUCACUCUUAAAUCACCUGUAGCUGCAAUACACAAGGGAUCUUCAUACAUAGACGGUUUCCACAGAACUAUUGAAACAAAGGUUGAGUCAUCACACGAUUUUGUUAGUGGAUGGGAGAAAGCCUUGUAGUGGUACUCUUUCCCCACUUCUUUUAUUGUGGUAAAAUAUAGGUAACAUAAAAUAUACCAUUUUAACUUUUUUUUUUUUUUUUUUUUUGAGACGGAGUCUCAUUCUGUCACCCAGGCUGGAGUGUAGUGGCGCGACCUCAGCUCACUGCAAGCUCCGCCUCCCGGGUUCACGCCAUUCUCCAGCCUCAGCCUGCUAAGUAGCUGGGACUACAGAUGCCCGCCACCACGCCUGGCUAAUUUUUUGUAUUUUUAGUAGAGAUGGGGUUUCACCGUGUUAGCCAGGAUGGUCUUGAUCUCCUGACCUGGUGAUCCACCCACCUUGGCCUCCCAAAGUGCUGGGAUUACAGGCGUGAGCCACCACGCCUGGCCCAUUUUAACCAUUUUUAAAGCAUAUACUUCAGGCCAGGUGCAGUGGCUCACGUGUGUAAUCCCAGGAUUUUGAGAGGCCGAAGCCUGCUGAUGGCUUGAGCCCAGGAGUUUGAGACCAGCCUGGGCAACAUGGUGAAACCCCAUCUCUACCAAAAACAAAACAAAACAAAACAAAACAAACAAAAAUUAGUCUGGCACGGUGUGUGCAUCUGUAGUCCCAGCUAUUUGGGAGCUGAGGUCAGAGGAUUGAUUGAGCCCGGGAGGUCAAGGCUGCAGUGAGCCAUGAUUGUGUCACUGCACUCCAGCCUGGGUGACAGAGUAAGACCCUGUCUCAAUAAAUAAAUAAAUAAAUAAAUAAAUAAAUAAAAUCUAUAGUUCAAUGAUAUUAAAUACAUUCACACUGUUGUGCAACCAUUACCACCAUUCAUAUCUACAACUUUUCUAAUCUUGUCAAACGUUUUUCCCACUUAAAAAAAAUUGAGUUAUUAUUUCACAUAUCAUAAAACACACCUUUUUUCCAGUGUACAAUUUGAUGGUUUUUAGGUUUAUUCACAAGAUUGUGCAGCCAUCACCACUAUCUACUUGCAGAACAUUUUCAUCUUUUAUCACUUUUGAACUCUGAUUUUCCACACAGUAUCAUCCUCUUUGCCAUCAGAUGCACUGGUGAUGCAACCUUUCUUAGAAGAGUGCUCCACUAUUGUCUCUGGAAUUUUCUCCCAAGCUCCUGACAGCCAUCUGCAAGGUUGGAUACUGACGCUUUCCUGACUGUGGCUAAUGGUGUUAGGCGAUGGCAACCAGGGCGUAUUUACCCCCCUACCCGGGCUGACAGUGAUUCUAUGAUACAUAUACUAAUUUAGUGAUGUUAAAAUGUGAAAACUGUGUGCCUUAGAACCGGUGAACUCAGUACUUAUCUUUCCAGCUCCAGCCCUGAAGUUGCUACAUCUCUCGUGACUCACUCCCUUACUCAGUUCUCUGGGGGGCAUCAAUUUUACCAUUCUGAGCUCCAAGGUACUUUGGCCAGAACCCUGUUCAUUAACCCACCCAUUGUAUCAGCCUCAUCUAUACUUGUUUACAUAUUGUCUCUCUCCCUAGACCAGGAACCCCUGCUCAGGAGACAUGCAAGGACAUGUUAUUCCUACUUGUCUCCACUGUGCCUAGUAUCAUGUAAGGAAUAAAGUAAGUACUUGAUAGCCAGGCGUGGUGGCUCACGCCUGUAAUCCCAGCACUUUGGGAGGCUGAGGAGGGCAGAUCAUGAAGUCAGGAGAUCAAGACCAUCCUGGCUAACAUGCUGAAACCCCUUCUCUACUAAAAAUACAAAAAAUUAGCCGGGCGUGGUUGCGGGCGCCUGUAGUCCCAGCUACUCGGGAGGCUGAGGCAGGAGAAUGGCGUGAAACUGGGAGGCAGAGCUUGCAGUGAGCGGAGAUUGUGCCACUGCACUCCAGCCUGGGCAAUAGAGCGAGACUCCGUCUCAAAAAAAAAAAAAAAAAAGUAAGUACUUGAUAAAUGUUUAUUGACUAAGCCAUGAUGAUAAGAGCCUACAAAUUAUAGCAGAAUGGGGUUGACAUGAGAAUACCUACCUGGGUGUUCAUCUCCUUUUGGUGCAGCUUACUGGCAAAAUUAAAGACAACUUCUAGCUAGGUAAUGAGUCAUUCAACUUAAAAUGUAACCGAAGAAAAAUAAUCUGAGAAGUUGGGAAAGCACAAUGUGGUAUGAAAACAUGGAAAAUAAAGAAUUGGGUUGUUUUUGUUUUGUUUUGUUUGAGAUGGAGUCUUGUUCUGUCAUUCAGGCUGGAGUGCGGUGGUGCAAUCUCAGCUCACUGCACCCUCCACUUCCCAGGUUCAAGCGAUUCUUCUGCCUCAGCCUCCUGAGUAGCUGAGAUUACAGAUGUGCACCACCGCAUCUGGCUAAUUUUUAUAUUUUUAGUAAAGACGGGGUUUCACCAUGUUGGCCAGGCUGGUCCCAAAUUCCUGACCUCAAGUGAUCCACCUGCCUCGGCCUCCCAAAGUGCUGGGAUUACAGGCAUGAGCCACCGCGCCCGGCCAGAAUUGGGUUGUUAAUGGCAGUGAAAAUAGAGGAUGUAGUUGUGCUUAGGCCUAGGAAAGAGACAGAAGAUUAGGAUUUCCUAGAUCACCAGCCAAAGCCUAGGGGCUCAUUGCCUGGCUGAGGUGCGAGUUCUGGGGGCUUGGCAGAUCUAGGGGUGAACUUGACUAGGACCAUCCAGAUCCCUAGGACUUGGUGCAUGUAGUAAGUAACCUAUGGAUUAUAUUUCAGGUUCCUCCACCAGGAGGAGGGUAUGUGGAAGACUUGCCUGUUGUAACUGGCCAUGCAGUUCUUAUGAUAAACUGGCUUUCUUAUUUUAUGUAGUAAUCUUGAUAUAGGGCUAACAAGGAUUCAGCUUGGUAUUACCUGAUGGCUUCUGUAUGAGUCCCUGCCAGUCAUUGCUCCACCCAGCUGUCAGCAAUAAUUACCUGCUGCAGGCUGGACGGGGGCCAGGCUGGAAUCCAGGAUCCCCUGGGAGGGCAGUGUGUUAGCUCUUUUCCCACUAAUGUGUGGAUCUGGAAAUUGUCUCCGUGCCUGUGCUGAGUGUCCUAAGGGUGUGGGAGCCUGUCCCUGUCAGGGACAGCCUCCCAUGUGCAGCCAGUCCGCUGGCCAGCCUUGUGCCUGGGUCUCUGCUUUCCUUUUCUUUUGGAACCUGUACCUGGCAUCUCUCUCAACUCCAAGGGCCUCCCUGAGCUCUGAGUCAUGCAUCCUUCUGAUCAAAGAAGCCUUUUUGAUUUGGACACUGCGUCCCUUUUCUUCUCCAGACUAGAACCCUAGGGUAUGGAUGCUAUGCUGCAUUUUACAGAGUUUUCUCUGCCCUUUGCGAUGUGGUCAUUUGAAAUGGGGACUCUUUCUUGAGUGGCGACAAGUCUUAUCCGUCCUGGUUAAUUUCCCCAGCUCUUGCCCCUGUUUUAGUCUAUUUCUUCUUUCCCAGUGCUUUGUGAUCAGGACAUUCUAGUUAGGCCAGAAGACUGAUAAAAGUGAGUUUCUAGAUCUGUAAAACUGAGAACCUAAACCUGGACCAAGAAGGACUGUACUAGUGGAGUUCUCUGAGAGGCCCAUCUUGAAAUAGGCUUCUUCUCUUAGCCAGCAUAACAAAGCUUCACAGGGAACAGUGGCCAUGUUAUCUAGGCUUUUGUGGGGGCAAGUGUCUUCUCCAAGUCCUCACUGCUCAGCUGUUACCUCUGCCUCAUACUGCUACAAGUUGCUACUUAAACCAGUAGCACUGGCAUCCCUGGGAGUUUGUCAAAGAUGCAGAGUCCUGGGCCCAACUUCAGACCUCCUGAAUUAAGAUCUGCAUUUUAAUAUGAAGUCCAAAUGAUUCACAUCCACCUAGAACUCUGAGGAAUACUUACCUAAAAUACUGGUGACUGCAGCACUAGCAUUUGCUGCUGUGGAGUUUAUUAUGUACCGGCGUUAAAGAGUCUCAUGUUGAUUGAGUACACACCAUGUGCCGGUGCCUUUUUCACUACCAAGCCACAGUGUCUGAGAAUAAGAUCCUUAGUUUGCAUAUAGCUCGUUCAUCCACUCAUUUAACUCUAAUUUCAUGAUCAAUGUGUGCUGGCACUAGAAAUGCAAAAGCGAAAAAGACAUGGGCCUUGAUCACAAUGAGCUCAUAAUUUCUGUGAGGCUGUGAUGGCAGCACAGUGCCUUGCACAGCAGGUACUGAGUGAGUGUUUCCAAGGUGGGGCAGAUCCCAGCAGGUUGGUGUGGGACCCUUAUCCAGCUAGCCUGGAUGUGGAGCAGUGGGUGGGGGUGGCACUUGCUAUGUGGAACCCAAGUUGAAGGUGGGGAACUCAAUGUAUAAAAGGGCAUCAUUAUUACUGAUGUUAAACAUGAAGAAGUACCACGUGGCCACUCAGAAGCAUGGACAUUUUGUUUGUUUGGGGUUUUUUUGGAGAUGGAGUCUUGCUCUGUUGUCCAGGCUGGAGUGCAGUGGCACGAUCUUGGCUCACUGCAACCUCUGCCUCCCGGGUUCAAGUGAUUCUCCUGCCUCAGCCUCCCUAGUAGCUGGGACUACAGGUGCACACCGCCACACCCAGCCUUUUUUUUUGUGUGUAUUUUAGUAGAGAUGGUGUUUCACCGUGUUGCCCAGGCUGGUCUUGAACUCCUGAGCUCAGGCAGUCUGCCUGCCUUGGCCUCCCAAAGUGUUAGGAUUACAGGCAUGAGCCACCAUGCCCGGCCAGCAUGGACAUUUUGAACUGAAACUGAUGUUAACAUGAAACAGAAAACAAACAAGCUGCAUUCUUCAGCCAGCAUGCUCAGUAAGUUGGCAUUUUUAUUUUUUCUUAAGUUGGCAUUUUUUUGUUUUAUUUGUUCACUUAAGUCCAGGGGUCUGAAAACUGGCCCAUGAGCCAAGUCCAGACCAUUGCUUUAUUUUAUUUUAUUUAUUUAAUUAAUUAAUUUAGAGAUAGGGUCUAUUGCCCAGGCUGGCGUGCAGUGGCGCCAUCACAGCUCACUGUAGCCUUGAACGCCCGAGCUCAAGCUACCCUCUUGCCUCACCCUCCAGAAUAGUUAGGAUCACAGGCAUGCACCUGGCUAAUUUUUAAAAUUUUUGUAGAGAAAGGGUUUCACUAUAUUGCCCAGGCUGGUCUUGAACUGCUGGGCUCAAGCAAUCCUCCCACCCUGGCCUCCCAAACUGCUGGGAUUAUAGGUGUGAGCCACUGCGCCCAGCUGUAUUGCUUGUUUUUGUAAAUAAAGUUUUAUUGGAAGAUAGCCAUGCUCAUUUGUUACAUAUCAUCUAUGGCUGCUUUCGUGAUGCAAUGGCAGAGUGGCGUAGUUGCAAAAGAGCUGGAAAUAUUAAUUAUCUGGACCUUUAUAGAAAAAGUUUGUGGCCAGGCUCGGUGGCUCACACCUGUAAUCCUAGCACUUUGGGAGGCCGAGACGGGUGGAUCACUUGAGGUCAGGAGUUCAAAACCAGCUUGGCCAUCAUGGUGAAACCUUUUCUCUACUAAAAAUACAAAAAAUUAGCUGGGCAUGGUGGUGUGCGCCUGUAAUUCCAGCUACACAGGAGGCUGAGGCAGGAGAAUCGCUUGAACCCAGGAGGUGGAGGUUGCAGUGAGCCGAGAUUGUGCCAAUGUACUCCACCCUGGGCUACAGAGUGAGACUCCAUCUCAAAAAAAAAAAAAAGAAAAAAAGAAAGAAAGAAAAAAAAAAGAAAAAGCUUGCUGAUUCCUGAUCUUAGUCUUCUACUAUCUAAA